rnacentral:rRNA from 1 species
CCUACGGGCGACUGCAGUCGAGAAUCAUUCACAAUGGGGGAAACCCUGAUGGUGCGACGCCGCGUGGGGGAAUGAAGGUCUUCGGAUUGUAAACCCCUGUCAUGUGGGAGCAAAUUAAAAAGAUAGUACCACAAGAGGAAGAGACGGCUAACUCUGUGCCAGCAGCCGCGGUAAUACAGAGGUCUCAAGCGUUGUUCGGAAUCACUGGGCGUAAAGCGUGCGUAGGCUGUUUCGUAAGUCGUGUGUGAAAGGCGCGGGCUCAACCCGCGGACGGCACAUGAUACUGCGAGACUAGAGUAAUGGAGGGGGAACCGGAAUGCUCGGUGUAGCAGUGAAAUGCGUAGAUAUCGAGAGGAACACUCGUGGCGAAGGCGGGUUCCUGGACAUUAACUGACGCUGAGGCACGAAGGCGAGGGUAGCGAAAAGGAUUAGAUACCCUAGUAGUC